GCCAAGGUAUCUUCUUUGUCUUCUUCAUGCAGCUAUCUUCUUCAUCAUCGGGUUCUAUGUCUUCUUCAUCAGCUUCAUCACAUGUGCGGAACAACUUGGAAUACGAACCAUCUUUGUACUGUAAUUGUGGGUUGAAAGCCCCGCUUUGUUCAACUCGAGAUUCAGGGAGAAAAUUUUACGGGUGUCAAAGAUGGAAGGAGGGUCGUGGGUGUGGUUUUUUUGUUUGGAAAGAACACGUUUCACCUACACGAGAAGAAACUGAAAACGACGCGACAUCUGCUUCGAUAAUGGAGGAAAUGAAGAAGUUGAUUACAACGAUGAGAUUUGAAAUGAUAAGAGAGAUACACGAUGUUCGGGAUUUAAUUGAAGAUGAAGUGAAGGAGAAGAAAAUGCUGAAAAGAAAGUGUGUAUUCUUUAUAGUUGUAAUUGUUGCUAUGGUGAAGUUUAUGUUGUAAUAUGGCUCAAUUGAAUGCCUUUUGUAUUUACAUCAUCACUUUUGUGUAUCCUGGCUUUAAUUUGUCCCAAAAUUUUCAUUAUAUUGUACACUUAUUAGCAGGUGAACAAGAAAUUCAUGCAGGUAUUCUU